GCAUUGGUGGUUCCGUGGUAGAAUUUUUGCCUUUCGUGCAGGAGACCUGAGUUCAAUUUCCAGCCAACGUA
rnacentral:tRNA from 1 species